GGCUCAGUGGCGCAGUAGGUAGGGCCCUUGCCUCAAAGCAAGAAGGCGUUUGUGGGUUCAAAUCCGGCCUGGGGCC